UACGUAGGGGGCAAGCGUUGUCCGGAUUUAUUGGGCGUAAAGAGCGUGUAGGCGGCCAUACCAGGUCAGCUGUGAAAACUCGAGGCUCAACCUCGAGACGUCGGUUGAAACCGUAUGGCUAGAGUCCGGAAGAGGAGAGUGGAAUUCCCGGUGAUAGCGGUGAAAUGCGCAGAUAUCGGGAAGAACACCCGUGGCGAAGGCGGCUCUCUGGGACGGUACUGACGCUGAGACGGCGAAAAGCGUGGGGAGCGAACAGG
rnacentral:rRNA from 1 species